rnacentral:rRNA from 1 species
AUUGAACGCUGGCGGCAUGCCUUACACAUGCAAGUCGAACGGCAGCACGGGGCAACCUGGUGGCGAGUGGCGAACGGGUGAGUAAUGCAUCGGAACGUGCCAUUGAGUGGGGAUAACGUAGCGAAAGUUGCGCUAAUACCGCAUAUUCUGUGAGCAGGAAAGCAGGGGACCGCAAGGCCUUGCGCUCUUUGAGCGGCCGAUGUCAGAUUAGCUAGUUGGUGAGGUAACGGCUUACCAAGGCGACGAUCUGUAGCGGGUCUGAGAGGAUGAUCCGCCACACUGGAACUGAGACACGGUCCAGACUCCUACGGGAGGCAGCAGUGGGGAAUUUUGGACAAUGGGCGCAAGCCUGAUCCAGCCAUGCCGCGUGAGUGAAGAAGGCCUUCGGGUUGUAAAGCUCUUUCGGCCGGGAAGAAAUCGCAUGGGUUAAUACCCUGUGUGGAUGACGGUACCGGAAUAAGAAGCACCGGCUAACUACGUG